GAUGAACGCUGGCGGCGUGCCUAAUACAUGCAAGUCGAGCGAACAGACGAGGAGCUUGCUCCUCUGACGUUAGCGGCGGACGGGUGAGUAACACGUGGAUAACCUACCUAUAAGACUGGGAUAAUUUCGGGAAACCGGAGCUAAUACCGGAUAAUAUAUUGAACCGCAUGGUUCAAUAGUGAAAGACGGUUUUGCUGUCACUUAUAGCUGAAUCCGCGUCGCCUUAGGUAGUUGGUAAGGUAACGGCCUACCAAGGCGACGAGGCGUAGCCGACCUGAGGGGUGGAUCGGCCACCCGGGAACGAGGAACGGGCCCAACACCCAACGGGAGGCAGCGGGGGGAAUUCUUCCGCAAGGGGCGAAGGCCUGACGGGGCAACGCGGCGUGAGUGAGGAGGGUCUUCGGUUCGUAAAACUCUGUUAUGGGGGAAGAACAAAUGUGUAAGUAACUAUGCACGUCUGGACGGAACCUAAGAAGAAGGCCACGGCUAACUACGU
rnacentral:rRNA from 1 species